UACAGAGAAACCCUGUCUCGAAAAAACCAAAAAAAAAAAAAAAAAAAAAAAAAAUUGAGACACACAUGAGCUUUUUAGUUCCUCCAGUUCACUAUGCCAUUUAUCCAAUUACAUUUUUUCCUUACUGUCCAUUCUCCAGUUAGGAAAAAAUGGCUUAGAACAUCCCUCAUGAACAUGAAUAGUGGUUCUUCUUGGGCUUUGUAUAAAGGCUGGGAGCCAUAGAAUUUAAGAUGAAACAAACCAAGAUGGGUCUUCUGAGAAGGUAGGUAGCAAGCUAAAACAGAAAAGAGAUCCAUUGCCUUAGAUAAUGAAGAUAAGAGUAGCUAACAGUUUUUGACAUUUUUCUCUGUACACUAAACUAAGGUUUAAUGCACAUUAUCUUACUGGGUAUCUUACUGGGCAAAAGAGUUGGUAUUUGAGGUAUAGUGCAGAAGCCAGCUCUGUGUGUGUGCUGAGAGGGAGUGUCAUGUCUUCUACAGACUGCUGUGGUUGGCAGAAAUACCUGCAUGUGCAGCCAAAGUGUCUUGCAGGAAACACCCUUAUAUCUGGACAAGUAGUCACUAGAGACCAGAGUUCUGCCUCACACAACCUACAGGAAACAACCAAGAGAAUGUGAGGGGAGGUGCUAACCGUUGUCUCUCUCAACCACAGAAGAGCCUGCACAUGAGGCAGUGUAUCAGCCCUGGAACAUAGCAGAGCCCCUGGACACCUGGGACUUAUUCCUGAGCAACAGAUAAACAUUAUCUGGAGAGACAUCUGGACAAAGGCAUUUCUAAAGUGUCCCCAGGCAGAAUGAGAACAACUGGUCAAGU
rnacentral:lncRNA from 1 species